rnacentral:lncRNA from 1 species
AACUAUGAACAUGUAGGCACCAUGACUGAAUGUGGAUAUGAAUGGAAAGCCCGAUGUUCUUAAACCAAAUAAAACAUGUCAAGUUCCAAGACUUUAAGCUCAAUCAUGCCAACCCAACCAACUGGUACUCAAUCAAGCAAUUGUAACACCUCGAAUGAAUUCUAACCAAUCAGAACCAUGACUCUUAAAUAAACAACUGAAUCAUUUAUAAUGAACCAAACGAAACAAAUGCAACCUCCCUGAAUUAGGGUUUCCACUAUGCUCCCUGAUGAAUA